UAAUUGAAGAGUUUGAUCAUGGCUCAGAUUGAACGCUGGCGGCAGGCCUAACACAUGCAAGUCGAGCGGUAACAGAGAGUAGCUUGCUACUCUGCUGACGAGCGGCGGACGGGUGAGUAAUGCUUGGGAAUAUGCCUUAUGGUGGGGGACAACAGUUGGAAACGACUGCUAAUACCGCAUGAUGUCUACGGACCAAAGUGGGGGACCUUCGGGCCUCACGCCAUA
rnacentral:rRNA from 1 species